GCCAUACCAGCUCCUUCACUACCACCGAGCGCACCCACUCUCUGGACAAUCACCACCUCCAAGGUCGUCACUGCUACAUCACCACACCCCUGCUCCCAGGGUUACUGUGGGAACGAUGGCUGCAGGAAAUGAGCUCCUGUGGUCUCACUGUGGGGAUGGACCCUGCGGUGGCCAGCAGCUCCCAGUGCACUGGCUGUCCCCACUCUCCAGUGGAUUAGUAACAAGAAUAACAACAAAAAUACCUGAUUGGAGGAGAAGCAGCAUGGGGCUCGGAAAACAUGAAAUGUGAAGCAGAAGCAGUUAGAUUUGAUUUCUUCUCUUCCAUUCAUCCCCUAUUCGACUUUGGGCAAGUGACAUCAUUUAUCUGAGCUUUAGUUUUUUUGUGUGUAAAAUGGAAUUAAUUGGGCUGUUCUCCUGUGGUUGCUGAGAAGACUGGAUGGGUUAAUGCCUCUGAAAAUGUUGCAUAAAUUGUUGCUUUAUACACAGUGUAAAAAUAAAGCAUGUACUGGAAUGCUUAUGUUUUUACCAAAAAAUCUACCUGCUCUUUUCAAACCUAAUCCUCAAAAUAAUCCUUUUUUAUAAGAAAACGGAGCCUGCAGGAGAUGGAUUGCCUUGCUCAUGAUCAAGGAGCUAUGAAGGUGGGGACAGAAUGGAUUGUCUGUUCUUUCGAUUUCUGGACCGGGGCUCUCACAACCACGCUGCUCAGCUGCUUAAUGCAGCCGAAGGUUCGUCUUGCUGGCUUGCACUGCUCAAUCAAGGACUCUGUGUACUUUCCUCCCUUGGAGUUGGAAGUGCAGACACUUAAUUAUAACUUUCGAUUGCUUGAAAUUAUAGGGCUAUAGAGUGACUGGCACGUGUUUCUGAGGAAAAUCAUAUUCUACAUCCUGAAAUAACCAUCUCCUUUUUUCAUAUUCAAGACAAAUGCAGGGAUCUAGCAC
rnacentral:lncRNA from 1 species